AGAAUCAACGCUGGCGGCGUGCCUAACACAUGCAAGUCGAGCGCGAAAGGGGGCAACCCUGAGUAGAGCGGCGAACGGGUGAGUAACGCGUGGGUGAUCUACCUUCGAGUGGGGAAUAACACCGGGAAACUGGUGCUAAUACCGCAUGACAUCUCCUGGACUAGAGGCUGGGAGAUCAAAGCCGGGGACCGCAAGGCCUGGCGCUUGAAGAGGAGCCCGCGUCCGAUUAGCUAGUUGGCGGGGUAACGGCCCACCAAGGCGACGAUCGGUA
rnacentral:rRNA from 1 species